rnacentral:rRNA from 1 species
AUAUCAGUCAUGCAUAGCAUAUCAAUAAGCGGAGGAAAAGCAGACAAAGCAGAUGGCCGGCUACCUACGCUUAGGAUGUUGAAGAUGUAGCACAUCAUACACGCAUGACACACUGCAUAUCAAUAAGCGGAGGAAAAGAAACUAACAAGGAUUCCCUAGUAACGGCGAGUGAAGCGGGAAGAGCUCAAAUUUGAAAUCUUAAAGGGUUUCCCUUUACGAAUUGUAGUUUAAAGAAGUGUUUUCUGUUGAGGUUCUGGUAAAAGUUCUUUGGAAUAGGACAUCAUAGAGGGUGAGAAUCCCGUAUUUGACCUUUACUUUCAACUUUGUGAUACACUUUCAAAGAGUCGGAUUGUUUGGGAAUGCAGUCCAAAAUGGGUGGUAAAUUUCAUCUAAAGCUAAAUAUUGGCGAGAGACCGAUAGCGAACAAGUACCGUGAGGGAAAGAUGAAAAGAACUUUGAAAAGAGAGUUAAACAGUACGUGAAGUUGUCAAAAGGGAAGCGUUUGACACCAGUGUUGUUUUCUCGAAAAUCAAUUAAAAAAAGUUGGAUUUUGUGUUGUAUUGACCUUAACAGCUUUCUGCACUCUUUUCCUGCUUUUUUUAAUGCACUUUUCGUUUAACAAGUCAACAUCAGUUUCUUUUGUUGUAAAAGGGUCAUUGGAAGGUGGCUUUCUUUUCGGAGAAAGUGUUUAUAGCCUUUGAUCUCUGCAAUCGGAGAGACUGAGGUCUGCAGCGUAGAUCCUUCGGGGUUAGAUACAUUUGUGCUAAGUUAUAACUUUUCAUAGACAACUUGUUGACUAUGUUUUAGUCAUGUAGCUUACUCGCUUAUGCUAUUUUACCUACGCUUAGGAUGUUGAAGAUGUAGCACAUCAU